rnacentral:tRNA from 2 species
ACCUCAGUAGCUCAGUGGUAGAGCGGUCAGCUGUUAACUGACUGGUCGUAGGUUCGAGACCUGCCUGGGGAG